UACAGAGGUGGCGAGCGUUAUUCGGAAUUAUUGGGCGUAAAGGGCGCGUAGGCGGCUUGACAAGUCCCGGGUGAAAUCCCUCGGCUCAACCGAGGAACUGCCUUGGAAACUGUCUGGCUUGAGGCCGGGAGAGGGUAGUGGAAUUCCCAGUGUAGCGGUGAAAUGCGUAGAUACUGGGAGGAACACCGGUGGCGAAGGCGGCACCUGGACCGGUUCUGACGCUGAGGCGCGAAAGCGUGGGUAGCAAACAGGG
rnacentral:rRNA from 1 species